UACGUAGGAGGCAAGCGUUGUCCGGAAUUACUGGGCGUAAAGCGCGUGUAGGUGGUGGGACAAGUCUGCUGUGAAAGCGCCUGGCUUAACCGGGCGAGGUCGGCGGAAACUGUCCGACUCGAGGACGGUAGAGGGGGGGUGGAAUUCCCGGUGUAGUGGUGAAAUGCGUAGAGAUCGGGAGGAACACCUGUGGCGAAGGCGGCCCCCCUGGGCCGGCCCUGACACUGAGACGCGAAGGCGUGGGGGGAGCGAACGGG
rnacentral:rRNA from 1 species